rnacentral:rRNA from 1 species
CCCUUAGAUGUUCUGGGCCGCACGCGCGCUACACUGAUGCAUUCAACGAGCCUAUCCUUGACCGACAGGUCCGGGUAAUCUUUGAAUCUGCAUCGUGACGGGGAUAGAUUAUUGCAAUUAUUAAUCUUCAACGAGGAAUGCCUAGUAGGCGCAAGUCAUCAGCUUGCGUCGAUUACGUCCCUGCCCUUUGUACACACCGCCCGUCGCUCCUACCGAUUGGGUGUGCUGGUGAAAGGUUCGGAUCGGCCGUUUGUCGCGGUUUCCGCGGCUCGUGGCUGAGAAGUUCAUUAAACCCUCCCACCUAGAGGAAGGAGAAGUCGUAACA